rnacentral:rRNA from 1 species
ACUCCUACGGGAGGCAGCAGUGAGGAAUAUUGGACAAUGGGUGGAAGCCUGAUCCAGCCAUCCCGCGUGCAGGAAGACGGCCCUAUGGGUUGUAAACUGCUUUUAUCUGGGGAUAAACCUACUUACGUGUAAGUAGCUGAAGGUACCAGAAGAAUAAGCACCGGCUAACUCCGUGCCAGCAGCCGCGGUAAUACGGAGGGUGCAAGCGUUAUCCGGAUUUAUUGGGUUUAAAGGGUCCGUAGGCGGACUGAUAAGUCAGUGGUGAAAUCCGACAGCUUAACUGUCGAACUGCCAUUGAUACUGUUAGUCUUGAGUAAGGUUGAAGUGGCUGGAAUAAGUAGUGUAGCGGUGAAAUGCAUAGAUAUUACUUAGAACACCGAUUGCGAAGGCAGGUCACUAAGUCUUAACUGACGCUGAUGGACGAAAGCGUGGGGAGCGAACAGGAUUAGAAACCCCUGUAGUCCCA